UACGUAGGGGGCAAGCGUUGUCCGGAUUUAUUGGGCGUAAAGAGCGUGUAGGCGGCCAGACAGGUCCGUUGUGAAAACUCGAGGCUCAACCUCGAGACGCCGAUGGAAACCGUUUGGCUAGAGUCCGGAAGAGGAGAGUGGAAUUCCUGGUGUAGCGGUGAAAUGCGCAGAUAUCAGGAAGAACACCCGUGGCUAAGGCGGCUCUCUGGGACGGUACUGACGCUGAGACGCGAAAGCGUGGGGAGCGAACAGG
rnacentral:rRNA from 1 species